UCUGACUCAGCGGGACUGUCAGAUGUCCAGGCCGUAAGGCCGAUGCUGGGAAAGUGGGUUCCUAGAAAAGCAGGGAUGCCAGUACCAAAACUGACACAGGUGGGCGAGGCGAAUAGCCUCAGGCGCUCGAGAGAACGGUCGUGAAGGAACUAGGCAAAUUAACCCCGUAGGUUCGCGAUAAGGGGGCCCUACCCGCAAGGGAGGGCGCAGAGAAAAGGCUCUGGGAACUGUUUAUCAAAAACACAGCUCUGUGCUAACUCGGAAGAGGAUGUAUACAGAGUGACGCUUGCCCGAUACCGGAAUGUCAAGAAAGUGGGUCAGCGAAAGCGAAGCUCGCGAUUUAAGCACCGGUGAAUGGCGGCCGUAACUAUGACGGUCCUAAGGUAGCGAAGUUCCUUGUCGGGUAAGUUCCGACGCGCAUGAAUAGCGUAAUCACUGGAGCACUGUCUCCACGACCGACUCGGUGAAAUAGAAGUGGCGGUGGAGAUGCCGCCUCCCCGCAGCAAGACGGAAAGACCCCGUGGACCUUCACUGCAGGUUUUUAUUGGUCACGAGCAUACUCUGCGUAGCAUAGGUGGGAGCCUUUGAUCUCCAGGUUUCGGCUUGGAGUAGGCAACAAGUGAAAUACCACCCUGAGCACGUUUGUGGCCUAACCAUGAUACCCUUGAAUCAGGGCGUGGGACAGUGGAAGCUGGGCAGUUUGACUGGGGCGGUCUCCUCCAAAAAGGUAACGGAGGAGUGCAAAGGUCGGCUCAGCACGGAUGGAAACCGUGCCAAGAGUGCAAGGGCACAAGCCGGCUUUACAGCGAGUUCGACGGAACAAGCUGUCACGAAAGUGGGCCCUAGUGAUCCUGCGAUCCCGUGUGGAAGGGUCGUAGCUCAACGGAUAAAAGGUACCCCGGGGAUAACAGGCUGAUCGCGCCCGAGCGUCCAUAGCGGCGGCGCGGUUUGGCACCUCGAUGUCGGCCCAUCACAUCCUGGGACUGAAGGCGGCCCCAAGGGUUCGGCUGUUCGCCGAUUAAAGUGGUACGCGAGCCGGGUUCAGACCGGCGUGAGCCAGGUCGGUCCCUAUCUGUUGUGGGUGUUGCAAGCUUGAGAGGAGUCAACUUUAGUACGAGAGGAUUGGGUUGGACGUACCCCUGGUGAUCCAGCUGGACUGCUAAGUCCACCGCUGGGUAGCUACGUACGGCAGGGAUAACCGCUGAAAGAAUCUAAGCGGGAAGCCCCCCUCAAAACUAGGCUUGCUUGAGACCCCUUGAAGACUACAAGGUUGAUAGGACGCGCGUGCAAGGGUAGAGAUACCCUCAGCGGAGCGUUACUAACGGUCGAUGAUCACGCCAA
rnacentral:rRNA from 1 species